CGGGUUGUAAAGCACUUUCAGUCGUGAGGAAGGUAGUGUAGUUAAUAGCUGCAUUAUUUGACGUUAGCGACAGAAGAAGCACCGGCUAACUCCGUGCCAGCAGCCGCGGUAAUACGGAGGGUGCGAGCGUUAAUCGGAAUUACUGGGCGUAAAGCGCAUGCAGGUGGUUUGUUAAGUCAGAUGUGAAAGCCCGGGGCUCAACCUCGGAAUUGCAUUUGAAACUGGCAGACUAGAGUACUGUAGAGGGGGGUAGAAUUUCAGGUGUAGCGGUGAAAUGCGUAGAGAUCUGAAGGAAUACCGGUGGCGAAGGCGGCCCCCUGGACAGAUACUGACACUCAGAUGCGAAAGCGUGGGGAGCAAACAGGAUUAGAUACCCUGGUAGUCCACGCCGUAAACGAUGUCUACUUGGAGGUUGUGGCCUUGAGCCGUGGCUUUCGGAGCUAACGCGUUAAGUAGACCGCCUGGGGAGUACGGUCGCAAGAUUAAAACUCAAAUGAAUUGACGGGGGCCCGCACAAGCGGUGGAGCAUGUGGUUUAAUUCGAUGCAACGCGAAGAACCUUACCUACUCUUGACAUCCAGAGAACUUUCCAGAGAUGGAUUGGUGCCUUCGGGAACUCUGAGACAGGUGCUGCAUGGCUGUCGUCAGCUCGUGUUGUGAAAUGUUGGGUUAAGUCCCGCAACGAGCGCAACCCUUAUCCUUGUUUGCCAGCGAGUAAUGUCGGGAACUCCAGGGAGACUGCCGGUGAUAAACCGGAGGAAGGUGGGGACGACGUCAAGUCAUCAUGGCCCUUACGAGUAGGGCUACACACGUGCU
rnacentral:rRNA from 1 species